UACAGAGGUGGCAAGCGUUGUUCGGAAUUACCGGGCGUAAAGGGCGCGUAGGCGGCCUACUAAGUCAGACGUGAAAUCCCCCGGCUUAACCUGGGAACUGCGUCUGAUACUGGAAGGCUUGAGGAUGGGAGAGGGAUGUAGAAUUCCAGGUGUAGCGGUGAAAUGCGUAGAUAUCUGGAGGAAUACCGGUGGCGAAGGCGGCAUCCUGGACCAUUACUGACGCUGAGGCGCGAAAGCUAGGGGAGCAAACGGG
rnacentral:rRNA from 1 species